rnacentral:rRNA from 1 species
CAGUCGCCGCGGUAAUACGAAGGGGGCUAGCGUUGUUCGGAAUUACUGGGCGUAAAGCGCACGUAGGCGGAUAUUUAAGUCAGGGGUGAAAUCCCAGAGCUCAACUCUGGAACUGCCUUUGAUACUGGGUAUCUUGAGUAUGGAAGAGGUGAGUGGAAUUCCGAGUGUAGAGGUGAAAUUCGUAGAUAUUCGGAGGAACACCAGUGGCGAAGGCGGCUCACUGGUCCAUUACUGACGCUGAGGUGCGAAAGCGUGGGGAGCAAACAGGAUUAGAGACCCCGGUAGUCCCUGUCUCUUAUAC